GAUGAACGCUGGCGGCGUGCCUAAUACAUGCAAGUCGAGCGAAUGGAUUAAGAGCUUGCUCUUAUGAAGUUAGCGGCGGACGGGUGAGUAACACGUGGGUAACCUGCCCAUAAGACUGGGAUAACUCCGGGAAACCGGGGCUAAUACCGGAUAACAUUUUGAACCGCAUGGUUCGAAAUUGAAAGGCGGCUUCGGCUGUCACUUAUGGAUGGACCCGCGUCGCAUUAGCUAGUUGGUGAGGUAACGGCCCACCAAGGCAACGAUGCGUAGCCGACCUGGGAGGGUGAUCGGCCACACUGGGACUGAGACACGGCCCAGACUCCUACGGGAGGCAGCAGUAGGGAAUCUUCCGCAAUGGACGAAAGUCUGACGGAGCAACGCCGCGUGAGUGAUGAAGGCUUUCGGGUCGUAAAACUCUGUUGUUAGGGAAGAACAAGUGCUAGUUGAAUAAGCUGGCACCUUGACGGUACCUAACCAGAAAGCCACGGCUAACUACGUGCAGCCGCCGCAGUAA
rnacentral:rRNA from 1 species